rnacentral:rRNA from 1 species
GGGCGUAAAGAGCUCGUAGGCGGUUUGUCGCGUCUGCUGUGAAAUCCCGAGGCUCAACCUCGGGCCUGCAGUGGGUACGGGCAAACUAGAGUGUGGUAGGGGAGAUUGGAACUCCUGGUGUAGCGGUGGAAUGCGCAGAUAUCAGGAAGAACACCGAUGGCGAAGGCAGAUCUCUGGGCCAUUACUGACGCUGAGGAGCGAAAGCGUGGGGAGCGAACAGGAUUAGAUACCCUGGUAGUCCACGCCGUAAACGUUGGGAACUAGAUGUAGGGUCCAUUCCACGGAUUCUGUGUCGCAGCUAACGCAUUAAGUUCCCCGCCUGGGGAGUACGGCCGCAAGGCUAAAACUCAAAGGAAUUGACGGGGGCCCGCACAAGCGGCGGAGCAUGCGGAUUAAUUCGAUGCAACGCGAAGAACCUUACCAAGGCUUGACAUAUACCGGAAAAGCGUAGAAAUACGCUCCCCGUAAGGUCGGUAUACAGGUGGUGCAUGGUUGUCGUCAGCUCGUGUCGUGAGAUGUUGGGUUAAGUCCCGCAACGAGCGCAACCCUCGUCCUAUGUUGCCAGCACGUAAAGGUGGGAACUCAUGGGAGACUGCCGGGGUCAACUCGGAGGAAGGUAAU